GGGGCCGUUUUGGAUUCGACGCCGGUUACAAAACUCUGUGGUGCAUGCCGUGAUGACAGCCAAUCACGUUAAUCCAAAGCUGUACUCUAUAUAGUUGCCAACGACGACAACUACGCUCUAGCGGCUUAAACCCCGCUAGCAGUCCCAGCAAGGUGCCCAUACCGCGCGAAGGACUGUCAUAUAGAAUGGGAUCGCAACAAGGUAUGUUCUGGGCCGCGUUGUUAAACUUAUACAGAACUCGCUGACUGCGUCCUGACCGUUGGGCUGCAGAAGGCUAAAUCAAUAAACGGAAGCUAAGCAUGUAGAGCCCUGAGCGGCGGACUGGCGGACGGGGGNUCAAUUCCCCCCGGCUCCACCA
rnacentral:tmRNA from 1 species